rnacentral:rRNA from 1 species
GACGAACGCUGGCGGCGUGCUUAACACAUGCAAGUCGAACGGAAAGGCCCUGCUUUUGUGGGGUGCUCGAGUGGCGAACGGGUGAGUAACACGUGAGUAACCUGCCCUUGACUUUGGGAUAACUUCAGGAAACUGGGGCUAAUACCGGAUAGGAGCUCCUGCUGCUUGGUGGGGGUUGGAAAGUUUCGGCGGUUGGGGAUGGACUCGCGGCUGAUCAGCUUGUUGGUGGGGUAGUGGCUUACCAAGGCUUUGACGGGUAGCCGGCCUGAGAGGGUGACCGGCCACAUUGGGACUGAGAUACGGCCCAGACUCCUACGGGAGGCAGCAGUGGGGAAUAUUGCACAAUGGGCGGAAGCCUGAUGCAGCAACGCCGCGUGCGGGAUGACGGCCUUCGGGUUGUAAACCGCUUUCGCCUGUGACGAAGCGUGAGUGACGGUAAUGGGUAAAGAAGCACCGGCUAACUACGUG